CCUUUUGAAAGCUUAAUUCAAGAUCAAGAAACCAAGAAAUCGGAUUUAGAUCGGGGGAAAUCAAAGGUAGUUGAGUAGCCGAUUUAUUAGUCGACGAUAUCCGAGAUUUUGGUGAUCGCUACGUGUUCGGGGAUCGUCAGCUAAGCUCAUCACACUAUCGGUGUCUUCUUUUGGUAUUUUGCUAAAUUGUUUUCAAGUAUAUGACAUGUAUAGCAUAGUUAAAAAUGUUGAUUUUGAAACCAAUGUGUUUGUGUAAUUAAAAGCCAUGCGAAAAUGGCUUAUCUCUUUUUGUUUGAAUUUGAUUUUGAUACAUAUAGUUAAUGGACAAU